rnacentral:rRNA from 1 species
UAAAAUAAAAUCAAAGGAACUUGUUUUUUAAUCGAUAAUACUCGAUAACUUUCACUAUUUUUAUAUAGCUUAUAUACCUCCGUAUAAACUUUCUUUACAUAAUUCGUUACAACCACAUCAUAUAAUACUUCAGGUCAAGGUGUAGCCAAUAAUUCAGAUAAAAUAAGUUACUAUAAAAGCUAUUUAUGGAAAUAAAAUAAAUUUAAAUAAAACAGGAUUUAACUACAAUAAUUUAAUAAUAAUAAAUUAUGAAUAUCAUUUAAAC